GCGCGAUUAGCUCAGUUGGUAGAGCAGGUGACUCUUAAUCACAAGGUCCGGGGUUCGAGUCCCCGAUCGCGCA
rnacentral:tRNA from 1 species